UGUAUAACAUAUAUAUGUCCAUAUAUAUGUAUAACCAAACCACAGGUGUUUUUUUGGAAGUCAUAUUAUACAGGGAGUUGACAGAGGUGUGAGCUGGACUUUAAGAAGCUGCACAUAAGAUGCUAGUAUGAUCAAGCUGGAAUGGACUUAGACAAUUUGAAACAACUUUUCUCAGUUUUCAGAUGAGGAAACUGACGGGUACCAAGCUUAAAUGACUUGACGAAGCUCAUAGAAGAUUAGCAGGUAGUAGAAUAAUGACUGCUGACUCCUAAUUCAGUGGAUCUUCCCUGGCCACCGUUUUGUAUUGAGCUGCAAUGCUUCCUUGACUGUUCUCCAUGCCAGAUUCUUAUCAAUGAUCUUUCACCUAAGAAACAGCAAAGAUUCUGGCAAGCACACGAUCUAGAGAUACAUCUUAUUGCGAUUUUUCACAAAAAUCAAAAGAAGAAAGAAGGCUUAGCUGGUGUUUAAUUAUUGUUAUUUUUUUCAAUAGGGAAAUCUGUACACAAUGAUUUAUCUCCAGUGAUUUGCCAUUGAUCAAUUUUUUUCUCAUUUCAUUUUCUAUUUUUUUGUUUUUUGUUUUUCUUUAUUUUUUAUUUUUUUCUCCUUUUUCUUUUUUUAAAUUUUCUGUUUAUCACAAAUGAUCAUGUAAUUAUAUGUUAAUACUAUGUAACCCCAGUGUUUUCAACUGUUUGUGAUUCAAUGUUACCCAGUUUUCUUUUCUUAAUUUUAAAUAAAUUUGAAAAAUUAUCUUAGAGUGUUUUGAGCCUGUGUUGGUACAUUUAGUUCUAGUUCAUUGUGGUAAAUCCACUUCAGUUUCUAAGUUUCCACCCUUUAGUAAAGACAUAUUUCUAAAUUUGGUUUAUAUCCUCAGUUACAAAAGAUUCUAACUGCUAGUUUUGUGACAGCAAUCACACAUACCAUCAAGGGAUGGGGCAGGCAGUUUUGGAAUGUGCUGAUGCUAGCAUUUUUAUAAGCCUAUGGCUUUUAUAGUCUAAAUUGUUCUUAUUUCUAUUAAUGCUUCAAUUUUUGACAAACACACAACCAUAGAAACAAAUAAUAAAUUUGUUUUUUGGGAAUUAUCCAGGAUUCUUGGUUAAGUGGGGAAUUUAGGCUUUGACAGCAUAAAGGAUCACGGAUAAGUAUUUUUCACGGUGGCUCUAAUUAUAAUGCUGAGCAUGUGGCAGGCACAGAAAUAUUUACUCAUUGACUGAAUAUAGCACAUCGUAAUGUUGAUUUUUUUCCAACAUAAUUUUAGAGCUAGGCAUAUUGUAUUCUAUUACACUAGACUAUAUAUCAUUCUUAAAUAGAACCAGCCUUGCUAGAUAACACAUGUUGGAGGAGAGGCCCUUCUUCUUAGCCCUCAGUGUUUCCAUCUAUGGGGAAGAAGUUCCACCAUACUAACAUUACUAUCGUCUCUCCACCUGCUCACUCACUUCUCCCCAAGGGAGGGGUGUUCGAUAUGGUUUCUGAGCUUGGAAAGAAAACUCAGGCAUGUGUAACAUGGUUCCUUCAGUCCCAUGACCCACUGUCCACAAAUGGGCUGCUCACAGAGUGCAUGCCUUCACCCUUGUUCCUGGCCAUGCAGGAAAUUGUAUGAAACAGUCCUAGCUGAAGCCUGAGAUUUUCCUGCAUUGCCUAGUCCUGGUGGGUAUCUGUCUACUCCUGGAGUUUGGAUUGGAAAGUCCACAUGCCUGAAGGUAUAAACCUAUUCUACAAAGGGGUGUUUUCUAGAAUGAAGGUAAUAUUUUUAUCUUACAUUUGCAGAAAGAGACAGAACAAUGUUAUAGGUGAGUGCAUGGACAAUGACCUCAAACAGCUAAGAUUCAAACCCCUGCGUUGAAUGAUUGAAUUGAAAUGAUUCAAUGAGCUAAUGUACAUAAAGCAUCCAGAAUGUUGCCUGGCACAAGGACUGUAUUGUCUGCUAGACCAUUUAUUCAAAGUGGGAGGAUGAUGUUCUAAAAGCCAAUGAUAAAGCUCAUGGCAAUGCAGGGUAUAUCUGAUGGCAUGGAAUGCUUUAGGAUGGCCAAGAUUGCCCAUCAAAUGCCAAGUCACCGAAGUUAUUAAUGGCUCUCCUACUAGGAGCCUGACAUCAUGGUGAGCAUCGAGAAAGGAAUAACCUAAGCUGAAGACACGCCUUUUCAGGAGGCCAAGUUCCACGUUCUGUGCAUGCUUUUGGCGAAAGUCAGGUAAAGCCUCCAGAAAUGCAUGGUCUAUUCUCUCGGACCAUAUGGCUGUGGGCAAACUCUGGCUUCUUGGAGCCUCCAUUAGCCACCUAGGGAAAGGUAAUUGGCUUUAUGUUUGGCUCCAUCACUGCUGGCGACAAGCUCCACUGCAUUCUCAAGCAGUAGAUGAAAUACAACUGUGCUCCUGAAUGCAGCAAAGGAAAGAGAACCCAACUGGACCAGUGUGAAAUUGGGACCUUUGGAGGCAAGAAUGCACAUAUUUAUAAAUGAAUAAACAUAAUUUUUCUCUCUUCUUCCCAUUGGCAGCAUAUCUGAAGGCCCUGACUCAACAGUAGUGGGUCUUAAUGCUUGUGCUUGUCCACCCUUCUCGGCAGUGAUUGAUUUCAUUGUUGGCUUGUUUUCAUGACUUGAAUGUGCGAUCUUCAGAGGGCCUAAUUCCUUGCAAGUUCCAUUUGAGGGUGGAAGAGCUAGAACAAGCUAUAACCAGUAGACAACUCCGUGACUCAGGAGCUUAAGCAUGUGACUAAUUAGUAAGAAAAAAUGUGGUGAAGAUUUGUAGUUAAUAAGAAGGAAAGAAGAAUCACUGGGGCUAGAAUUAUGCAAGCUUUUGUUUCCUUUUGGGACUAUAUCAGAACUAUGAGAGAAGAAAGGCUACCUUUUACCUUUGAGGAAUUUUCAAAGCCUUUUUUUUUUUUUUUGGUUGGUUUGUGACUGACAAAGGGCACAAUUUCAACACCUCAGAAAAAUGCCUCAUCAUUUCCUCUUGUGAAAUCUGGGUGCUUCUGAAUGAAUCCAUGUUAGGAAUGUGUACUUCCAUCCAUUAAAGUCAAUGUCCAGUCUCAUUUUGGGCCAGAGGCUGUUACUAAGUUGUAGUACUGGUGAGAAAAGGACAGAGCAUUUACCUUCCCUGGGUAUCCUGUGACCUACAUGUGUCCUUGCAAGGCAGGGAAAUGUUACUAAUUAAGAGCAUAGCCUUUCGUCAGAUGGGUUCAGAUCCUAACACAUCCUCUUUCUGGUUACAGGACAGUCCUCUCUGAGCCUCAGUUUUCUCAUCUCUAAGAUGAGGCUAAUUAUACCUACUUCCCAGGGGGGUACUAAGGAUAAAGUAACAACACAAGAAAAUUUUUUAUCCUUGAUUUUCUUAGCUGGAAAAUUAGGCUAGAAAGACCUCCAUCCUUGGGGUAUUUAAAAUAAAAGGACAAACAUAUGAUGAGUCUAAGUGAUCAAUACAUUGUGGCUUUUGUACUUACUAUUCUGAAACAUGGGUGUGGCCUAGAUACUUUCCAAAAUUCUGCCCUCUCCACCUAGCAAAAUGACAACCAGACUUACAGAUAUGCCAACAAGCUAGUGUUUAAUAAUGGUGUUUGAUGAUAAAUGGCAUUUCUUUUCGACAUUUGUCUCUUUUUAAAACUUGGUGCUCUUAAAUGCAUCAUUGGAUAAGUGAUGACUGUUCCCAUUCGCAAGAAGAGACCUGGAAUCUAAGCAUGAAGGACCUGUCCUGAUGUUGAGAAGUGUGGAUCACAUUUAUUUGUAAACUUAGCUUCUUGCUCGUCUCAUGGUUGCUUUUUUUUCUUUUUCCUUUUUCUUUUUUUUUUUUUUUUUUUUUUUUUUUUUUUUGAGAGGGAGUCUCACUCUGUCACCCAGGCUGGAGUGCAGUGGUGUGAUCCCGGCUCACUGCAACCUCCACCUCCCGGUUUCAAGCAAUUCUCCUGCUUCAGCCUCCCCAGAAGCUGGGAUUACAGGCACGUGC
rnacentral:lncRNA from 10 species